GACGAACGCUGGCGGCGUGCUUAACACAUGCAAGUCGAACGGAAAGGCCCUGCUUUUGUGGGGUGCUCGAGUGGCGAACGGGUGAGUAACACGUGAGUAACCUGCCCUUGACUUUGGGAUAACUUCAGGAAACUGGGGCUAAUACCGGAUAGGAGCUCCUGCUGCAUGGUGGGGGUUGGAAAGUUUCGGCGGUUGGGGAUGGACUCGCGGCUUAUCAGCUUGUUGGUGGGGUAGUGGCUUACCAAGGCUUUGACGGGUAGCCGGCCUGAGAGGGUGACCGGCCACAUUGGGACUGAGAUACGGCGCAGACUCCUACGGGAGGCAGCAGUGGGGAAUCUUGCACAAUGGGCGGACGCCUGAUGCAGCAACGCCGCGUGCGGGAUGACGGCCUUCGGGUUGUAAACCGCUUUCGCCUGUGACGAAGCGUGAGUGACGGUAAUGGGUAAAGAAGCACCGGCUAACUACGUG
rnacentral:rRNA from 1 species